rfam:Salmo salar isolate Sally breed double haploid chromosome ssa07, whole genome shotgun sequence.
CAGAGGCUGGUUUCACAUGGUGGUUUAGAUUAAUGUUCCCAGUGUCUAGCACCAUUUGAAAUCAGUGUUCU